GACGUCAGCCUGCCGUCCCUGCCGGCUUCCGGACCCUGACACGGUCCAACAAGCCCUUCUUCACCCGGGCUGAGUCGCUUCUUGUUUCUUGCCACCGAACCGUCCUUGACUAAGACACCUUACAACACAGCUGCUGGCUCGCCCCCGCCACCCACUCCCUCGUUCUUUUCUUCUCCCGGAAUCUGUUUUCCCGUUUCUAUUGAGACAGCCACGCUGCACACACAGGGCCUGAAUUUUCACUUGAACAAACGCUGCCUGGCCUGGGCCCAAAGAGGACAAGCAGCAACCCCGUGACUUGGCCACACAACAGCCCUCACUCACUCCCAGAUGAGACACUGGGCAUCACGUGGUUCGCAGAUUCGAACACAUCCGUUUAGGAGCACCUCCAAACGAAAGGAUGCCCUCUGGCAAGCAUUCUGCUCUAACAAGUGGCAGGUCCCCCUCCCCUGUGGACAACGCACAGCCAUGAGAACCACGAGUCACGAGACUCAGUGAAUCCAGGGCACGUCCUUCCCUGCAGCCUGCUCUUCGAGGGACCGCCUCUGAAAUAAAGACUGGUCCUCCACGUAAGAAAGGGCACAGACACGUUUUUUUAGUUCAUUUGCUUCUUUCGCUUGGCUUUUUGGUUGAUUUGCCGAAGUGGUAGUGACUGUAUUAUACAGACCUAACUCCUACAAGCACAUGUCUCCAUCAGCGUGAAUAAGCAAAGGACUUCCCUGGUGAUCCAGUGGUUAAGAACCCACCUUCCAGGACAGGGGAGGCGGGUUCAAUCCUGGUCGAAGAACUGAGAUCCCACAUGCCACCAGGAAGCUCAGCCUACACUCCGUGACUGGAGAAGCCCAGUACCACGGCUGAGACCCAACACAGCCAGAUACAUAGAGACUUCUUAAAAGAAAUAAAACAAUAAUUAUGGGCACAUGAUUAGAACUGCACCUAUCAUGCUUGUUUUUGACAUGAUGACUACAGAAACUGGCACCACAGGAGGAGGAGAAAAAGCUGACUGGGGUCACAGACACCCUUGGCUUAAGGGGCCCUAGACCGGCACCACCAUGCCCCUGUCCUUACCGCUGGUAAUCGGUCACACCCUACGGCAUGCGGGAUCUUAGUUUCCUGACCAAGGAUCAAACCCCUGUCCCCUGCAGCAGAAGCAGAGUCUUAACCACUGG
ensembl:lncRNA